UACGGGGGGGGCAAGCGUUGUUCGGAAUUACUGGGCGUAAAGGGCUCGUAGGUGGCCAACUAAGUCAGACGUGAAAUCCCUCGGCUUAACCGGGGAACUGCGUCUGAUACUGGAUGGCUUGAGUGCAGGAGAGGGAUGCGGAAUUCCAGGUGUAGCGGUGAAAUGCGCAGAUAUCAGGAGGAACACCGGUGGCGAAGGCGGGUCUCUGGGCCGAAACUGACGCUGAGGAGCGAAAGCGUGGGGAGCAAACAGG
rnacentral:rRNA from 1 species